rnacentral:rRNA from 1 species
UUCCGGUUGAUCCUGCCGGACCCGACUGCUAUUUGGGUGAGGAUAAGCCAUGCGAGUUGAAUGGGAAACCUAAAGUUCCCAUGGCAAACUGCUCAGUAACACAUGAUCAACUUAACCUAUAGAGAAAAAUAACCUCGGGAAACUGAGGAUAAUGUUUCAUAGCUGAAUUGGCUUGGAAAAGUUUUUCGGCGAAAGGGGUAAAAAAAAUGGUUUUUAUCUGCUAUAGGAUAGGAUCGUGUUCGAUUAUGGUUGUUGGUGAGGUAAUGGCUCACCAAGCCGAUAAUCGAUAGGGGCCGUGAGAGCGGGAGCCCCGAGAUGGGUACUGAGACAACGACCCAGGCCUUACGAGGCGCAGCAGGCGCGAAACCUCCGCAAUACACGAAAGUGUGACGGGGUUACCCAAAGUGUUCAAUAGAACUGUGGUAGGUGAGUAAUGUUCCCUACUAGAAAGGAGAGGGCAAGGCUGGUGCCAGCCGCCGCGGUAAAACCAGCUCUUCAAGUGGUCGGGAUAAUUAUUGGGCUUAAAGUGUCCGUAGCCGGUUUAGUAAGUUCCUGGUAAAAUCGGGUAGCUUAACUAUCUAUAUGCUAGGAAUACUACUAUACUAGAGGGCGGGAGAGGUCUGAGGUACUACAGGGGUAGGGGUGAAAUCUUAUAAUCCUUGUUGGACCACCAGUGGCGAAGGCGUCAGACUGGAACGCGCCUGACGGUGAGGGACGAAAGCCAGGGGAGCGAACCGGAUUAGAUACCCGGGUAGUCCUGGCCGUAAACGAUGCAUACUAGGUGAUGGCAUGGCCAUGAGCCGUGUCAGUGCCGUAGGGAAACCGUUAAGUGUGCCGCCUGGGAAGUACGGUCGCAAGGCUAAAACUUAAAGGAAUUGGCGGGGGAGCACCACAAGGGGUGAAGCCUGCGGUUCAAUUGGAUUCAACGCCGGA